CUCUUGAUGUUUAAUUCUUUUUUUUCAUGUAUUGAUGUCCAGAGUUUAAAAUGGGUGCACCAAAAAUUUUUUCAAACCUAGAUGUGCAUUGCUGAGCAAACUGGAGAUUGUCAAAAUGCUUGGAGGGAGAGCAGAGAUGCCACCAAUAUACUGAGGAUGGAACCCAAAAAUGGGCGUUUUUAGCCAUAAUGACAUGGGUGACAUCAUGGAAGGGGGAAAAAGAAAAGAUGAAGAGGUCAGGAGCAGAAAGUGCAAGAGUCUGAGAGGAGUUCCCCUGCUCUACAGACAAAAUACUUUAACAUAAAACACCUGUCUCUAAAUAUUUGUAGUAAAAUGUUGUAUUUUUUGAGCCACUUCCAGGCAGAACUUCACGUCAAGGAAGAACUCUGUUCAUGCUUCCUCAAACUGCUGUGGUUUGAAUGGACCCAAGUGCUUCAUGUAGCUUGUGCCUGUCGUUUGAUGCUGUGCUUUUUAUGAAUCCAGGACAAAAAGAGCGUGUCCAGAUGCUUCUCCCACAAGGACAUCAUCACCAUCACCAGCCAAGCUCUGGGAACCAUUUGUAGCUGGUGGGUUUUGUUGCCACAGGAAAGGCACCAUCAUCCAGCAUCAAACCCAGAGCUCUGCACAGGUACCACCAAAACCCAGAUAUAU